GGGAAGAUCGUCCAGUGGCUAGGAUGAUGGGCUCCAGACCCAUUGAUCAAGGGUUCGAAUCCCUUUCUUCCCA
rnacentral:tRNA from 1 species